GCAACGCCGCGUGAGUGAUGAAGGCUUUCGGGUCGUAAAGCUCUGUCCUAAGGGAAGAAUAAAUGACGGUACCUUAGGAGGAAGCCCCGGCUAACUACGUGCCAGCAGCCGCGGUAAUACGUAGGGGGCAAGCGUUAUCCGGAAUCAUUGGGCGUAAAGGGUGCGUAGGCGGCCAAACAAGUCAGAGGUGAAAGGCUAUGGCUCAACCAUAGUUAGCCUUUGAAACUGUAUGGCUUGAGUGCAGGAGAGGAAAGUGGAAUUCCUAGUGUAGCGGUGAAAUGCGUAGAUAUUAGGAGGAACACCAGUGGCGAAGGCGACUUUCUGGACUGUAACUGACGCUGAGGCACGAAAGCGUGGGGAGCGAACAGGAUU
rnacentral:rRNA from 1 species